UACGGAGGGUGCAAGCGUUGUUCGGAUUUACUGGGCGUAAAGAGCGCGCAGGCGGUCGAUUAAGUCGAGUGUGAAAGCCCCCGGCUCAACUGGGGAGGGUCACUUGAUACUGGUCGACUCGAAGGCAGGAGAGGGAAGUGGAAUUCCCGGUGUAGUGGUGAAAUGCGUAGAUAUCGGGAGGAACACCAGUGGCGAAGGCGACUUCCUGGCCUGUUCUUGACGCUGAGGCGCGAAAGCUAGGGGAGCAAACGGG
rnacentral:rRNA from 1 species